rnacentral:rRNA from 1 species
UACGUAGGGGGCUAGCGUUGUCCGGAAUCAUUGGGCGUAAAGAGCUCGUAGGCGGUUUGGCAAGUCGGGUGUGAAAUUUCGAGGCUCAACCUCGAAACGCCACUCGAUACUGCCAUGACUCGAGUCCGGUAGGGGAGUGCGGAAUUCCCGGUGUAGCGGUGAAAUGCGCAGAUAUCGGGAGGAACACCAGUGGCGAAGGCGGCACUCUGGGCCGGAACUGACGCUGAGGAGCGAGAGCGUGGGGAGCGAACAGG